UACGUAGGCAGCGAGCGUUGUUCGGAGUUACUGGGCGUAAAGCGCACGUAGGCGGCUUUGUAAGUUAGAGGUGAAAGCCCGGGGCUCAACUCCGGAACUGCCUUUAAGACUGCAUCGCUAGAAUUGUGGAGAGGUAAGUGGAAUUCCGAGUGUAGAGGUGAAAUUCGUAGAUAUUCGGAAGAACACCAGUGGCGAAGGCGACUUACUGGACACAUAUUGACGCUGAGGUGCGAAAGCGUGGGGAGCAAACAGG
rnacentral:rRNA from 1 species